UUAUGCUUCAAUGGUGUGAUGCUCGCCAUGUAAUUGAUGCGCUUGAUUUAUGUGAUAAUGUUGGAGUUAUGUCGUGUACGUAUGUAAGAUGAUAAUUUUGAUUAAGUGAAUGUUGAACAAUGCGGUUGUCGAAUGUAGAGUUAUGAAAGCAUAAGUAUGUGUAAAUUGGUUGUGUAUAUUGUGUAUGUGACUAGGUGAUCAUGUAGUUGUAUGUGUUAUACAACAUUAUGUAUGAAAUUAAUAUGAUGUCAUUAAUAUGGUCUAUUAUAUCAACAUAAAUGCGUGUUCGAAAUUGGAAGUUAUAUGCUAGAAGGUUAACUUUCUGAAAGUCAACAGAGAAUUUAUAGCAUGGUUAGGCAUUUUGACACAAAUAUAAGAAUCGAGAGAUCAUGGAAUAUGUGUUAGAUCAAUUAUGUGUUAUGUGUGAUAACGAAUUUGGAUUUCAAAAAUAUUGAACUAUGUGGUUGACAAAUCAUGUCGUAUGCGUGUUAGUGAAAGUCAAUGUAGAUAAGAGUUGGAAAAUGUGUGU
rnacentral:lncRNA from 1 species